rnacentral:lncRNA from 1 species
UUCACACAACCCAUGUAAUACAUAAGGGAAAGAGAUACAUAGUUGGCUUACAAUCGCCACUUCACCCAAUUACAUGAAUAAAGCAUUACAUCAAACAGAUACAAUCAAGGUCCGACUACGUAACCAAAAUAAAAGAAGACUACCCCAAAUGCUACACAGAUCCCUGAUCGACCCCAACUGGGCUCCACUACUGAUCAACUGGAAACGGAAACGACAUAACGAACACGAUCUUCAUUGAGCUCCUCCUUGAUCUCGGUUGCAUCACCUGCAUGAUAUCAUCGGCACCUGCAAACUGGUUUUGGAAGUAUCUAUAAGUCACGGGGACUCAGCAAUCUCACACCCUCGCGAUCAAGACUAUUUAAGCUUAUAGGUAGGGUAAAAGGUAUGAGGUGGAGCUGCAGCACGCGACUAGCAUAUAUGGUGGCUAAACAUACGCAAAUGAGAGCGAGAAGAGAAGGCCAAAGCACGAUCGUGAAACUAUGAUCAAGAAGUGAUCCUAGAACAACCUACGUCAAGCAUAACUCCAACACCGUGUUCACUUCCCGGACUCCGCCGGAAAGAGACCAUCACGGUUACACACGCGGUUGAUGUAUUUUAAUUAAGGUCAACUUCGGGUUUUCUACAACCGAACAUUAACAAAUUCCCAUCUGCCCAUAACCGCGGGCACGGCUUUCGAAAGUUCAAAACCCUGCAGGGGUGUCCCAGCUUAGCCCAUCACAAGCUCUCACGGUCAACGAAGGAUAUUCCUUCUCCCAAGACAAUCCGAUCAGACUCGGCAUCCAGGUUACAAGACAACCUCGACAAUGGUAAAACAAGUCCAGCAACACCGCCCGAAUGUGCUGACAAAUCCCGAUAGGAGCUGCACAUAUCUCGUUCUCAGGGCACACUCAGAUUGUCCAAACUUCCGGUAGGCCAGCCCAGAGUUGCCCCUGGUGGCCACCGGCGGCUGACAGUUUGGACCAACACUCAAAGGAGCACUGGCCCGGGGGGUUAAAAUAAAGAUGACCCUUGAAUCUGCAGAACCCAAGGGAAAGAAAAGGCUAGGUGGCGAAUGGUAAAACCAAGGUUGGGCAUUGCUGGAGGAGUUUUAUUCAAGGCGAACUGUCAAGGGGUUCCCAUUAUAACCCAACCGCGUAAGGAAUGCACAAUCCAGGAACAUAACACCGAUAUGACGAAAACUAGGGCGGCAAGAGUGGAACAAAACACCAGGCAUAAGGCCGAGCCUUCCACCCUUUACCAAGUAUAUAGAUGCAUUAAUUAAAUAAGAGAUAUUGUGAUAUCCCAACAAGUAAACAUGUUCCAACAAGGAACAACAUCUCCAUGUUCCAACAAGGAACAAACUUCAAUCUUCACCUGCAACUAACAACGCUAUAAGAGGGGCUGAGCAAAGCGGUAACAUAGCCAAACAACGGUUUGCUAGGACAAGGUGGGUUAGAGGCUUGGUUCAACAAUAUGGGAGGUAUGAUAAGCAAGUGGUAGGUAUCGCAGCAUAGGCAUAGCAAAAGAGCGAGCAACUAGCAAGCAAAGAUAGAAGUGAUUUCGAGGGUAUGGUCAUCUUGCCUGAGAUCCCGCAAGGAAGAAGAACGAGUCCAUGAAGAAGACAACCGGACAUAGCCGAACGAAUCCUCACAAACGCGACGUUAUCAGAACUAACCCGAAGAAGCAACACCGGAAAGAAGCAAACAACAUAGUAAACAACCAUCACAUAAACAUGGCAUGAUGCAUAACCAAGUAUGAUGCAUGUCCGGUUUAAUGAAGCAUGGAAUGGCAAAGUGCAACAAACAACACUAUAAAUUAAGUGGAGCUCAAUAUGCAACGGAGUUGCAUAUUGAAGAAAACACCACAUGAGUUAUUUAGUUCACUCCCGGUUAGGUACUCAACAAUAUUAAAUGUUGAUUAACAUGUCAAGAGGUGAAGCAAAGUAAAACUAUCUAUCUAGGCAAGUUUAAAUGAGGCCGGAACAACAAGCAAUAAGUCCGGAAAAUCCUCAUGUGCAUAUUAAUGGAUUUGGUACUGUUCUGCCCUAAACACAAUUUUAGGGUUGUUAAACAUGCAAAGUGAUGCCAUCAUGUUAAACUAGACAUUUUUCUACCCCAUUUACAUAUAAAGAUUAUUAAAUUUGGAGCUACGGUUAUUUACUUAUGAAUUAAAUCAUUUCAACAUGCUAUUUAAACAAAUUUAAACAAACAGCAAUUUAAACAUUUUUAACAUGGAUGAAAAUUACAAAUUAUUAAACUAGACAAAAUUCUAAACAAUUUACAUAUAUGACAUAUUUUAUUUGGAUGCAUGGAUUUUUAGUUAUCAACAAUGCAAAACAGUGGCAUUUCAGUAAAUAAGAAUGCAUUGGAAAAUGCUAAAAUACACAGACUGGAAAAAAGUAUGCAUGGGCCGGAUUGCAGCGGCCCAGCAGGACUUGGCCCGAAUGAGCGCUGAGUGUGUGGGAGACAGAGAGGAUGACGAGUGGGGUCCCACUGUCAUAGAGGGGACAGAGGCAAAAAUUCGGGUUCCAAAUAUGUUCCCGAGGGGAUUCGAACCCGGGACUCCCCGGUAGAACUACAUGGCCCGAACCAUUGCGCUACUGUUGCUAUUGCUGACAGGAUGGGGCACGGCUUGUUUUGAUCUAGUCCCACGGCGGACGGGGUUUCUUCUUCUCUGCAAAAGAGAACACACCGACUACGCCGGCGGGCAACGGUGAAACAGCGGGGCCCAGGAGACGGCGGCGGGUGUGCGGAACUGGGAGGUAGAUGUGUUGUGCGACGGAUGCGUACAAAGGCUCGUGCACGAGCUCGUGCUCGUCUCGGGCAUGGCACGGCAAGGCGGGAGGCAACGGCAGCUUGGCGAGCAAGGGAGUGAAGCAGGGCAAGCAGCAGUCGGGCAAGCAGCGUGCGUAGGUGAUGUGGUGCCAGAAACAGGGAGACGCGGGCGUCGCAUUGGUGUCUCGCGAGAGUGCAGCGUGCAUGAGUGGAGGCGCUGAGUGUAGGUUCUCGCGUGCGCAAAAAUUCAGAGAUCAAGGCCAUGGCGGACGGCUUCGGGGUUGCGCGGAUCGAUGGGCAUGCGGACAACGAGACCAGAGAGAGAGAGAUGGGGAGGAGCGGAGGCUUCACCAUGGGAGUGUUGCUGGAGUCGAUCGGGGUCAGGGACGAGCGGAAGCGACGAGGGAAGGCGUUGUCCAUGAAGCAGGGGAGGAAGAGGACGACGGGGAGGUAGCCGGACUUGGUGAUCCUUGGGCGCGGCUCGUCGUCAGAAUGGGUCCGGGGCAGUGUUCUCGAGCGAGUAGACGACGG